UAUAAUUAAGCUUGAUGAAUCUAUCACUUUUUACUUCUGCUGCCUCAUAAUUCAGGAAUGUAAAGGGACUUUAUUUUGUGUGGGAGAGAGCAGAAUAUGGAUAGAUUUGCUGAAGUUACUGAGACAAUGAUAAGAGGAGAAAUGAAAUCAACAAGGAAGCUGUUGCCCGGCAACAUGGUUGGUUUCAAAGAGACAGAGCAACCUUCGGUAAUAACCAUGAGCAAUCUAUGAAAAUAACUCAUGAAUCCCUGAGUUAGAAAAUAUAUAUGUUGUGAUUGGGUUAGGCUAAAUACUUCCCCCAAAGAACCAAAGCAUCUAGCUGUCCCGUUCUGUUCCAUAAAUAUGAACUGUGCUUCCUGCCUAGGAUCCCUCCCAUUUGGAGUGCAGUCUCUGCCAGCUGGGACAUUUUGUGGCUUUUGUAUUUUUAUAUUUUGUUUUUAUUACAAACCUGGUCUGUGUGUAAUAUUUUUACUCAGCACAAUGAACUGCAGUGAUGUGAUGUAUCCAAAUUAUGCCAGAUACCUUGUUUUGCCUGCCUGGUGAAGCUUUGCUGGCUUGAUCACCAGCAUUUGGCCAGUGUGUCCCAUCCCUUAACAGGACCAUGAACACUAGUGAGGACCACAGGGUGGUAUAGCUUGAAGGACCCUUACAGAACAUUCUUCAUUUUUGCCCAUGGGGAAUAUGGCUUCUAUGUCUGAUACGCUAACGGCCAUCUCCUUUUGCUCUUUGAGUCAACAGCUCCAAAUAGAAUCUGGUCUUUAUGUCAUACCCUGCCCUGUCUUUUUCCUCUGUUAAAGGACUCCUUGCCAGCAAGGACUCCACUAUACUUAUUCCUGGUCCCCAGCCACGAGCACAGUUUCCAGUAUUCAGAAACAUUAAUACGUGGAUCUGAGCAACAAUCUUCAAGAUGCGUAGUAGAUUUUGGUCUGCCACAGGCUGCCUUAAGCACAUGAAGAAGUGUCACACCUCCCUCACCAGCCUGAGUUAUGCUGGGGGCAGUAAAGUGGGUAAGAGCACAGACUUUGCAAAAAACAACUAAUGCUGGUGAGGCUGAGGAGAAAAGGGAAAAUUUAUACACUGCUGGUGAGAAUGUGUAUUAGUUCAGCCACUGUAGAAAGCAGCUUGGAGACUUCUCAAAGAACCUAAAACAGAACUACCAAGUGACCCAGCAAUCCCAUU
rnacentral:lncRNA from 1 species